rnacentral:rRNA from 1 species
CCUACGGGAGGCAGCAGUGAGGAAUAUUGGUCAAUGGACGCGAGUCUGAACCAGCCAAGUAGCGUGAAGGAUGACUGCCCUAUGGGUUGUAAACUUCUUUUAUAAAGGAAUAAAACGCGGCACGUGUGCCUGUUUGCAUGGACUUUAUGGAUAAGGAUCGGCUAACUCCGUGCCAGCAGCCGCGGUGAUACGGAGGGACCGAACGUUAUCCGGUUUUUUUGGGUUUAAAGGUAUCGUAGAUGGGUUGUUGAGUCAGUUGUUAAAGUUUGCGGCUCAAACGUAAGAUUGCAAUUGAUACUGGCAGUCUUGAGUACAGUUGAGGUAGGCGGAAUUCGUGGUGUAGCGGUGAAAUGCUUAGAUAUCACGAAGAACCCCGAUUGCGAAGGCAGCUUACUAACCUGCAACUGACAUUGAUGCUCGAAAGUGUGGGGAUCAAACAGGAUUAGAUACCCGAGUAGUC